rnacentral:lncRNA from 1 species
AAAUUUCAUCGAAUCGCUUCGAUCCAAAUUAGCCAAAAAUUCCUGAGGAUGUAACGAACAAUUUGUAAAAAGAAUUUUGUCGCUUUCUUAUUUUGUUACGAAGGAGAUGCACACACAUGACAAACAGUGAAUAGGGAGAUAACUCUUACAAAGAAAAUGGUUCGGCUUAGCAGGGUGAAAUUUAAAAGCGCAUAAACUAUACGAUACAAUAUGAAAAAAAUCUAAGCGACAUAUUGCGAAACAAACAUUUAUCGCAAGAACAAAAUUUGGCGGAAAAAAAAAAAAAAUAAAAUAAUAAUAAUAAUAAUCAGAAC